rnacentral:lncRNA from 1 species
CAAAAAAUGCAGCCCAUGAGGCUUCCACCUGCCCAUCCUCAGGGAAACGGCAGCAGCCACUGAUGGGAAGAGGCCUCCAAAUUCAGGGAUGGUUAUUUUUGCUUUGAUGCUUUUUUGUGCCUUUGUUGGCAUAUUCUGAUAAACAGGCAUGAUCCCAAAAUAAAACUAAUUCAGGCUGACAGAUGCUGUCACACAUUCAGUGUGAAUGGAGUUCACUGAGAUUUUGCAGUUUUAAGUUACCUAAUACUGAAAAACAACUGCUAAAAUAUUAUCAGCAACUUCUUUCAGUGAUUAAAAGCCAAAAUUGAAUUUAACAGCUCAACAAAGCUUUGUAAUAAAAUACCAAUAAGAAAAAAAUCUUUAAAAUUAUUUUUAAAGAAAUCAUAAAAACGUUAACUGGACUUAAUUUUUCUGCUUGAAUUCCUGCCAAAAUAAUUCAAUUUUUUGUCAUUUCCUUUUUUUUUUCUGAGCACUUUUUGAUUCAGACAACUGUGGAAUUUCCUGUUUUGUUUUUGUUUUGCUACUGCAACUAAAGCAGCCAACAGCCAAGGUCAUUGUAGAAAAGCAGACUUUCAGUAAAAUUUGAACAAAUGCCUUCCCUCCCCUUGUUUGCAGCUUCUGUUCUCUGACCAAUUUCCUUUGGUGGUGAUUUAGUUUUUCCAGAGUCUGCAUGUUCACUCAUCUUCAUGUUUCUUCUUGCCCGCAGCGAGCCCCGUUGCCCUGUGCAGUGCCUGUUCAGUGGGGGAUGUGGGGUUUUAUUUAUCUGCUGUCCUUAUGAGAAGAGAUUUGUCCCUGCUCUGCAUAAAUGUGCUUCUGCUUGUUCCUUGGAUUCCAGGUGUUUGAAGAUGCUUGUAAAUCAUCCCAGCAGAAAGGCUGAGCAUCACAGUCUUCAGAGCAUUCUCAUGGCCAGAAUAUUCCCCUGCAGCUCUGGGGAAGAGGGAGCUUGGGAAGGAAUCCUAACGCAGAGACAAGAAGUGAAGAGCUACAGUCCAGCCUCAGCUGAGGGUGCAGAGAGCCCUGAGCGUGAGACUUGCUGCAGAUCUGGAGGCAGAUGGAUGUGUUCCAUCUCCACCCAGCUGGGGCUGCCUCAGGAUGGAGCCAGCCCUGCUCUUGGCAUGGGGAAACACAGAGGGGAUUUCAUUAGCAUUAAUGGACUGGCCAAGGAAGAGCUCUGCAUGCUGACAAGAUAAUGCACAGCUUUAAUAUAGCAAAUUCCUGCUGCUGCUGGGGGCUGCCCAGCUACAACAUUCAGUUUCACUGGUUAAAAUGAGCCCUGAGGAAGGUGUGGGUGAGAUGCUGUUCCCUGUUUCCAUCAAAGCACCCACUUCUCUGACAAGGACCAGACUUCCCACCUCCCUUUUUCAAAUGAUUGCUCAGACUCCUGAUGCUGAGCAGAAAACAUUUAAGCUGUUUUUUCAAAAUGAACAUUUAUAGGUGGUGUCUUUCCCCUUCCCCAGAGCAGAGUGUUAAUGACAUUGGAGGACUCAAGAACCUGUCUGGAAGGGAUUCUGGAUGGAGAAGAGGUGCAAACCCAGAGCAGCCAGAUGUUCUUCUAAAAUGGAAGAGUUAAAAAACCAAGCUCCAAAGGACAAAGAAAGGGAAAAAAGGAGAAAUUUAGAUUGUGGAAAAUGAGAAGCUGCUUAUCAGGGGAAAUAUGGAUGUGUGAUGCCAGGGUGGGGCAAUUUUCUCUCCAGUUCCUGUGCUUCCUCUGAGGUGGUUUGACUUUAGAAAUACAUAAAAGAAAGGUGACUUCUUGUUUGUUUCCUGUAUUGGAAAAGAUGGAAUGGGAAGAGGGGGCAGAUUUUGCACCACUAAUGUUGCAGGAGUAGAGGCAUUCCCUUACUGUUUGUUGAUAUUGAAAACAGCCUGAAAUGGCUUUUUGCCUUUUUCCUGGGAAAAAUAACAGGAAUAUCAAAGGAUUAUAUAAGUUAGGAAAGAAGCAAGCAGCCUCAACGUGAAUUUUGUGUUUGCUGUGGUGUGAAGAGAAACACUGUGUUGGAGGUGGCAGUGAAGAUGAUUUCUGGGGAUGCAGGUAAGAUAUCCCAAUGCUUCCAUGCUCUCCAGGGAUGGCAGUCUGCAGGUCACAAUCCUGCUCUGGGGCCAGGGGAAUGGAUAGAGGGAAAAACCCCAAUCUCUAACAGGUCAGAUCCUGAGAACUGAGUGGUAAUUCCUGCCAAGUCACUGGUAGGGAUCUCCCUGGGAAUAAAUGCUUGGAAAUUGCUGUUCGGUGCUUUCCU